rnacentral:rRNA from 1 species
AAAGCGUGCGCAGGCGGUUGUGCAAGACAGAUGUGAAAUCCCCGGGCUCAACCUGGGAAUUGCAUUUGUGACUGCACGGCUAGAGUGUGUCAGAGGGGGGUAGAAUUCCACGUGUAGCAGUGAAAUGCGUAGAUAUGUGGAGGAAUACCGAUGGCGAAGGCAGCCCCCUGGGAUAACACUGACGCUCAUGCACGAAAGCGUGGGGAGCAAACAGGAUUAGAUACCCGUGU